GUGCAAGUGUGAUGUUCAGUGCAAAGCACGGCAGUAGCGAAAACGCCACAAAGAUCCAAGACUAUUUUUCAACUGAUACCUAGAAUCCUUUAAUUAGAUUCAGAGGCAGAGCGUUAAGAUUUGGCCAAAUCGGAACUGCAACUCAGAAAUAACUUAGGACAGUUAAUAGGUGAUUUUUUUAAAUGUAUAGUUAUAGCUAUCGCACAUCAUUUUUACAAAGUCGUGCAUUAACUAAUGGAGCAGAAGCACCACCUAUUAAGAUUCAAAUUCAGAAACAUAAUCUAAUACUACAAACUUUCCUUCGCAAUAUGCUUCAUUAUUUUACAUUCAAUGUUCGUUAUCAUAUGAAGCCAUGAAUCUAUAUAACUUGAAAGCAACUUAUCCAAUCACGAACACACUCACAAAACAAAUCCAACUAGUUUUUAUUCUUUUUUUAUUUCCCGACAGUCAGCUGAAAAAAAUAAAAGAAUCUCUAGUUCAGUUUUCCACAUAAUUAAAACAAGAAGAAACUCUCAAGCCGCCUUAACUUACACAGCGGGCCCCAUGCCUGGCGCUGGGAGGAAUGGCGAGGCUGUCCUGUCCCUAGGGCAGAGGGCUUGCGGGGCUGAGCACCUGAGCACAAGUACUUCGUGGUCAAGAGUGUUCCACAUUGCUGACAUUCAGCUCAGCCUCAGAAGCACCCUUGACAACUACCGAUGGCCACAGCCAAAUGGUUACCUGUAAAGUGGCCACUGCACCGUUUUCAGACAUGACAACACGAUUGCUGGACCCUGAAGACAUCUUAGCUGGUGACCUACAAACAUCUGCUUGCAGGAUCUUCUUGGAGCAAGCCUUAGACAUCCAGGAAGUAGCAGGAGCCCCAAGGUUCAGUUUCUCAAGAGCACCAAGAAAUGGCCAAUGCUUUAGUUAAGAAUGUGCACCAGCCUGCAGUUCUUCACUGAGGCCUAAAAGCAGUGGAACCAGCUAACUACAAACUGAGACCUCUGACACCAUAAAGCCAAACAAAUCUUUCCUUAUUAAAUUGCUUCACUCAGGUAUUUUGUCACAGUGACAGAAAGCUGAGCAUCACAAACACAAGGAAGAAGGUCAUGGUAAAUGCAAGCAGAGACUGGAGUGAAGCAGCUAUAAGCCAUGAAUGCUGGGGAGCGUUGGAGCCACCAGAAGCUAUGAAGAGCCAAGGAAGGCUUACUUCUUCCUAGAGUUUUUACCUGGAGUAUAGCCCUACUGCUACCUUGAUUUCAGACUUUUAGCCACCAAAUAAGUGAUGGAAUAAAUUUCUGCUG
rnacentral:lncRNA from 1 species